rnacentral:tRNA from 1 species
CGCUAAUUAGCUCAGUCCGGUAGAGCAGCUCAUUAAAUCAUGAGAGCGUGUCCGUGGUUCAAUUCCACGAUUAGAGACCA